rnacentral:rRNA from 1 species
GAUGAACGCUGGCGGCGUGCUUAAUACAUGCAAGUCGAACGGAGAUAGCAGUGAUGUUUAUCUUAGUGGCGAACGGGUGAGUAACGCGUUGGUGACCUGCCCCAAAUCGUGGGAUAACAGUUCGAAAGGACUGCUAAUACCGCAUGAAGUUACAGGAGUUUAGAGAGCUGUAAACGAAAGGCGAAAAGUCGAUAAGGGAGGGGCCUGCGUCCCAUCAGCUAGUUGGUAGGGUAAAAGCCUACCAAGGCGACGACGGGUAGGGGGCCUGAGAGGGUGACCCCCCACACUGGCACUGAAACACGGGCCAGACACCUACGGGUGGCAG